rnacentral:rRNA from 1 species
UACGAAGGGGGCUAGCGUUGUUCGGAAUUACUGGGCGUAAAGCGCACGUAGGCGGACAUUUAAGUCAGGGGUGAAAUCCUGGAGCUCAACUCCAGAACUGCCUUUGAUACUGAGGAUCUUGAGUUCGGGAGAGGUGAGUGGAACUGCGAGUGUAGAGGUGAAAUUCGUAGAUAUUCGCAAGAACACCAGUGGCGAAGGCGGCUCACUGGCCCGAUACUGACGCUGAUGCACGAAAGCGUGGGGAGCAAACAGG